rnacentral:tRNA from 2 species
GGGGACAUAGCUCAGUUGGGAGAGCGCAAGGCUGGCAGUCUUGAGGUCAGGGGUUCGACCCCCCUUGUCUCCA